CGGCGGCCCGAGUGGUAACCACUAUUAUUGGGUCUAAAGGGUCCGUAGCCGGUUUGAUCAGUCUUCCGGGAAAUCUGACAGCUCAACUGUUAGGCUUCUGGGGGAUACUGUCAGACUUGGGACCGGGAGAGGUAAGAGGUACUACAGGGGUAGGAGUGAAAUCUUGUAAUCCCUGUGGGACCACCAGUGGCGAAGGCGUCUUACCAGAACGGGUCCGACGGUGAGGGACGAAAGCUGGGGGCACGAACCGGAUUAGAUACCCGAGUAGUCC
rnacentral:rRNA from 1 species